rnacentral:rRNA from 1 species
AUUGAACGCUGGCGGCAGGCCUAACACAUGCAAGUCGAACGAGUGGCGGACGGGUGAGUAAUGUCUGGGAAACUGCCCGAUGGAGGGGGAUAACUACUGGAAACGGUAGCUAAUACCGCAUACCAUCGGAUGUGCCCAGAUGGUAUUAGCUAGUAGGUGGGGUAACGGCUCACCUAGGCGACGAUCCCUAGCUGGUCUGAGAGGAUGACCAGCCACACUGGAACUGAGACACGGUCCAGACUCCUACGGAGCGCAGCAGUGUGGAAUAUUGCAUGAUGGGCGCAAGGCUGAUGCAGCCAUGCCGCGUGUAUGAAGAAGCGCUUCGGCUUGUAAAGUACUGUCAGCGAGGAGGCGUUACUCGCAGAAGACGCACUGGCUAACUCCGUGCCAGCCGCCGCGGUAAUUC